rnacentral:tRNA from 1 species
GCCUGGGUGGCUCAGUCAGUUAAGCGUCAAACUCUUGAUUUCAGCUCAGGUCAUGAUCUCUCGGUUCGUGGGUUCAAGCCCCGCAUCAGGCU